UACGUAGGGACCAAGCGUUGUUCGGAUUCAUUGGGCGUAAAGGGUGCGUAGGCGGCGCGGUAAGUCGGGUGUGAAAUCUCGGAGCUUAACUCCGAAACUGCAUUCGAUACUGCCGUGCUUGAGGACUGGAGAGGAGACUGGAAUUUACGGUGUAGCGGUGAAAUGCGUAGAUAUCGUAAGGAAGACCAGUGGCGAAGGCGGGUCUCUGGACAGUUCCUGACGCUGAGGCACGAAGGCCAGGGGAGCAAACGGG
rnacentral:rRNA from 1 species